ACAUGCAGUCGAACGGACCCUUCGGGGUUAGUGGCGGACGGGUGAGUAACACGUGGGAACGUGCCUUUAGGUUCGGAAUAGCUCCUGGAAACGGGUGGUAAUGCCGAAUGUGCCCUUCGGGGGAAAGAUUUAUCGCCUUUAGAGCGGCCCGCGUCUGAUUAGCUAGUUGGUGGGGUAAUGGCCCACCAAGGCUACGAUCAGUAGCUGGUCUGAGAGGAUGACCAGCCACAUUGGGACUGAGACACGGCCCAAACUCCUACGGGAGGCAGCAGUGGGGAAUCUUGCGCAAUGGGCGAAAGCCUGACGCAGCCAUGCCGCGUGUAUGAUGAAGGUCUUAGGAUUGUAAAAUACUUUCACCGGUGAAGAUAAUGACUGUAGCCGGAGAAGAAGCCCCGGCUAACUUCGUGCCAGCAGCCGCGGUAAUACGAAGGGGGCUAGCGUUGCUCGGAAUUACUGGGCGUAAAGGGAGCGUAGGCGGACAUUUAAGUCAGAGGUGAAAUCCCGGAGCUUAACUUCGGAACUGCCUUUGAUACUGGGUGUCUUGAGUGUGAGAGAGGUAUGUGGAACUCCGAGUGUAGAGGUGAAAUUCGUAGAUAUUCGGAAGAACACCAGUGGCGAAGGCGACAUACUGGCUCAUUACUGACGCUGAGGCUCGAAAGCGUGGGGAGCAAACAGGAUUAGAUACCCUGGUAGUCCACGCCGUA
rnacentral:rRNA from 1 species